rnacentral:rRNA from 1 species
CCUACGGGAGGCAGCAGUGAGGAAUAUUGGACAAUGGCCGUAAGGCUGAACCAGCCAAGUCGCGUGAAGGAAGAAGGAUCUAUGGUUUGUAAACUUCUUUUAUAGGGGAAUAAAGGUAUCCACGUGUGGAUAUUUGCAUGUACCCUAUGAAUAAGCAUCGGCUAAGUCCGUGCCCGCAGCCGCGGUAAUGCGGAGGAUGCGAGCGUUAUCCGGAUUUAUUGGGUUUAAAGGGUGCGUAGGUUUUUUUUUAAGUCAGCGGUGAAAGUUUUUGGCUCAACCAUAACAUUGCCGUUGAAACUGGCAGACUUGAGUGUGUUUGAGGUAGGCGGAAUGCGUGGUGUAGCGGUGAAAUGCAUAGAUAUAACGCAGAACUCCGAUUGCGAAGGCAGCUUACUAAGCCAUAACUGACACUGAAGCACGAAAGCGUGGGGAUCAAACAGGAGUAGAUACCCCGGUAGUC